AUUUUAUCAAUUUUUCGUAUAAACAUGGAUGUUUCUAUUUCGAAUAUGUUCUUUUUCGUCACUUUUGUUUCAUUCAUAUUAUUAGGUUUUGGAGCCAAUAUUAACAGGUAUCAAGUCGAUGAUCUUUCUAAAAAUCCGUUUGGUUUUUUAACGGAUUUCCUGAAUUUACUGAAAGACGAUGAGAGAAAUUUAACAGUCAUCCCUCUGGUUAUGUCGAAUAUAAGCAAAGAAAUAAGCGAGAAACUACACGAUCAAAUGAAGUUCUCGAACCACAUCGAUACCAUAUUGGACCAAUAUCCGGAUAAUUAUAACAAAUCUUUCUCAAAUGUCAAAAACAUAAAUGGGACAAAAGUAAUGACCAACACAACGAUCUUCAAGAGUAAGGACAACGACUCGAUGACCGGAAUGUAUAUGAAAGAGAAUAUUGUUGAUGGAAAAUCGAAGCUCUUGCAAGCACGUAUGAUCUUACAUCCAAAGUAUUCAGCGAUGAACAAUACAAUUUGAUGACAGAAACCGACCAAUUGAAGCAAAAAGAUACUUACUGACUUUACUUAUUAUAGUCAUUACAUUCUGUACUUAAGUUUAAUAUUAAACGAGAAGAAAAAUA